rnacentral:rRNA from 1 species
AAGAAGCGAAGCGGUGACGUGGAGCAAACCUCAGAAAGCCAAUCUCAGUUCGGAUUGUAGGCUGCAACUCGCCUACAUGAAGUUGGAAUCGCUAGUAAUCGCGAAUCAGAAUGUCGCGGUGAAUACGUUCCCGGGUCUUGUACACACCGCCCGUCACACCACGAGAGUUUACAACACCCGAAGUCAGUGGCCUAACCGCAAGGAGGGAGCUGCCUAAAGUGGGGUAGAUGAUUGGGGUGAAGUCGUAACAAGGUAUC